CUAGGUUCAGUUACAUAUUUAUUACUAUUUCAGGGAGAUUUAUGAGAUGUAAAUGAAAUAUUUCGGACCUAGGUGCAUUGAUACAUGACAAAAAAAGGACUAGGUUCAGCUACAUUUAUGUAUGUACUAUUGUUUCAGGGAGAUAUAUUAGAUGUAAAUGAAAUAUUCCGGGACCUAGGUGCAAUGGUACACGACCAAGGAGAACAGAUAGAUACUAUAGAGGCCAAUGUAGAAAAGGCAUAUACAGAUGUAGAACAAGGCACGGGACAGCUGUCUAAAGCUGCUACAUAUCAAAAAAAAGCCAGGAAGAAGAUGUGCUGUUUAGUUUUGAUUUUUGUGAUAAUAGCCGCCAUUAUAGCCAUAAUUAUAGCUGUAUCAGUUAAAAAAUAGACUGGUUAUAGUCUUCAAGUGAAUUUUAGACUGGGACUUUACUCACAGAUAGACUGGGACCAGAGUCAUAACUAAGGCUGUGUCUGUUAAAUUUUCUGAAAAAGUAGACUGGAUACUGUCUACAGAAUAAUUUUGGACUGGAAUUUCUCAUCUAAACAGACUGGUGCAUGAAUAAAGCAGAAAUGGUGCAUGAAUGAAGCAGAAAUGAAAUGUGAUUGGUUUUUAUUGAAAAUACUCUUUGGUCUAAAAGACCUGUUAGGUUAGAUUUAGAUAAGGUUAUAUUGUUGUACAUUGACUUGAUAGACUAAAACUUAAAUUAAGAUGUAUUUAUUUACUGAUAAACCAGAGCAGAUAGAAGAUAAUGGCAUCAAAAUUUAAGAGUGAAUAGCAGCUGCAGAGUACCAUUUCUGUGUAAAUGGACCAUUUAUCUUAUAGCAUAGGCUAUUUUUAGCAAGGCAUGUGAACUGAAUGGAUAAGAAAUAGAAAGGUUUGCAAUAUUGUAUCAUUUGUUUAAUUGAUUAUGUAUACAUGCAUAGAAUUCAUAAAACAUUCACAUAUUUAUUGUUACCUCAGCUCUUAUAGGGUGUAGGGAGCCCGAGAAGCAUAGAAAAAUCACUAUCUCUUCUAGUAGUAUGGAUUUUACGAUAUUGACUCAAAAUAAGGAGGGAAAAUUUUGUAACUGAAAUCAUAUCCAAAAUAGCACAAAUAUUAACCCUUACCCUGCUAAAUUUCUGGAAUUGACUGGUCUAUAUUUCAAUUUGGACAGCACCAUUAACUGCUAAAAGGGAGGCUUACAAAAAAAUACUGAAUGGCAAACAGUGCAGAUCUUGAUCAGACUGCAUGGAUGUGCAGGCUGAUCAUGAUCUGCACUGGUCAUAAAGGCAGAAUCAGUCGUGUCCAGCAUGAUAAAGGUUCAAACAAACAAAGUGUUUUAUCCAAAAGGAGGAUUUAGUACACAUAAAAAUUUAAAGGUUUUAGUCAUUUUAUGGGGUUGUUAGCCAUUAGACUUUGUGUGGGGUACACAGAUGGGUACAUUCCCAUGAAGAGUACAGAACUCUCAAGUACUGGUAUUUCAUGAGGUUAUGAAUUACAUUUAUAAAUUUUUAGCUGAAGUUGUUUACUUUUGUUUCAUCGAAUAAACUUAAUUAUUUGAUAACAAUGAUAGCAGUAGUGCUACUCUAUAAAGUAUUUGUACGAUGUUUGGAAUAAACAGUAAUUUAAGUCUAUGUAAACAUAGUAAAUAAUAAGCACAAACUUUGAGCAAUGUCUAACUGCUAUAGUAAUCUGAUAAUAACAUUUCAGAAAGCUGUAACAUGUUUCGUUUGAAUUUUAAGAUACCUGUUUGAAAAGUAACUUCAUUCAGAAGACUAUGGUAAUUUGGCUGAAACAAAUAUUUGUUGUUAUGCCCAGGUUUUUGCAGAUAAUUGUAGUUUUAUCAGCAUGAUUGUAUUGUUAUACAAAAUGAUAAAUAGAGAAUAUUUGUUUGUUUCAGUUUUAAAAUUGAAAUAUCUUUCACGAGUGAACAGCAGAUGCAGUAUUUUCACUAGUACCGUAGCCAGGAGGGAAAAUGUAAGAUAUGGUGUUCAUGAAUGAAAGAUACUUUGAUCUUGCAAGUUUUAAAAAACAAACAAAUUUUCUUUUUAUUUCAUGUUUUGACUAAAUUUUCCCAUUUUAUUGUUUCUUACCAAGUAAAAUAUAUUUGGUGUUUUUCUCUGUGAAAAUAACAUAAUGAUAUAUUUCACUCUAAUAUUUUGAUAAUUCACUUGAAAACAUGUAAUAAAUUUAGACACAAACAGCAUGGAGAUAGGUCAAAUGUAUGCAUUCCAUUUACUUUUUGCUGUUUUCUUUGAUGUCCCUACUUGCUUUGUUAUUUCAUAGGUUUAUUUCUGUGGUGACAGUCUUUAAAAACUUUUCAAAUUGUUGAACUAAGCUUUUAUUUGUGUAUGGGUAAAUGCCAUUUUUUUUCUCAAAAAUAUAGUACUGAAAGUUAUGCAGAGGUGGAUGGUUUAACUAACCACUAAUCACUGUGCCAUAACUGACUUGCUCUCCACAAAUGACAACUUCUCUACAUGAAUCAGUUGGAGGAGUGGAUAAAAUUGAGACAGAUUGUCUUGUUAAUCAUUUCCAUAUUGAUAUAUUCCUCACCAGAGCAUAACAAACUAACAGCCUCUACAUUUAGGGUCAUGUUUUCUUUUUUACCAAGUUUUUCAGUUUGGCUCUAACAAACUAAACACACUUCAUAGCUUGAGCUCAAAGUAUUUAACCCUUACCCUGCUAAAUUUCUAAAAUGGAUAGGUCCAUUCAAUUUGGGCAGUACCAUUUAUUAUUCCAAAGGGGUGUUCACUGAAAAUUUACUGACUGAAUAGCGAACAGUGCAGACCAUGAUCAGUCUGCAUGAAAUGCAAGCUGUUCAUCUGCACUGGUUGCAAAGGCAGAAUCACUUGCCGCCAGCAGGUUAAAUGUUAACAUGGUAUGUAUGAUGAAUUUGCUUAAUUUAUUUUGCUGCUAGAUAACAAUCAGUUUCAUACAUUCACACACGUUGUAGUUUUUUAAAGUUGUAAUUCUAGUACAUUUAACCAUUUAUAUACAGUUAAACUUUCUUUGCUCAAACAUAAUGGGACAAGCAAAAUUUAGUAAGAGUUUUCCUUAGUUCGAGCCAUCAGAAAAAUAUACUACAUGUAUAUACUAGAUAUUUCCUUCACAGACAAUUAUGCUUUGGAAAAAAAAUGAUUUGAUAAAGUUCUAAAUUGUAGAUCAAUAUUUCUUUCAAAUGUGCAGAACUACGUUAAGCAUUCACCUUAGUUAAGCAGCCAGAUUGUGUCCCUCCCUUGGCUGGCUGCUUAACUAAGGUUUGACUGUAUCAUUUACAAGGUCCUCGGUUUUGCAAUGAUUAAAUUCUAAUUUUAAUGUACAUGAAUAUAUAUUUUUUGCAAGUAACUGGUGUUCACACAAUUUCGCCUAUGGCGAUUAACUUGGUCAAUCCAUCUUGUUUAUGUACAUUUGUACAAUGUAUUUUAAAGUGAUAGAUACAUCUUUAAUGAGGUGUCUACAGCAUGUUUUCAUCUGUUUAUGUUAAAUGAAAGAUAAAUCCACGAUAUAAUUAUACGUUGUUUAUUGUUUAUUUUUAUAUAUGUUAUGUGCUGUCUAACAUUUAUAGAAUAUUUUCUUUUUUUUACAUGUAAAUAAAAGACAAAAGAAUAAUUUUAAAAAAAUG
rnacentral:lncRNA from 1 species